GGGAUUGCUGGAGCUCAGGAGUUCUGGGCUGUCAUGCGCUAUGCUGAUCGGGUGUCCGCACUAACUUCAGCAUCAAUAUGGUGACCUCCCAGGAGCAGGGGACCACCAGGUUGCCUAAGGAGGGGUGAACCAGCCCAAGUCAGAAACAGAGCAGGUCAAAACUCCCAUGAUGAUCAGUAGUGGGAUCCCGCUGGUGAAUAGCUACUGCACUCCAGCCUGGGCAACAUAGUGAGAC
ensembl:misc_RNA Metazoa_SRP Metazoan signal recognition particle RNA